rnacentral:rRNA from 1 species
UNNUGAUUUGAUUGUACCUUUGAAGUAAGCCCCNNNNNACUACGUGCCAGCAGCCGCNNNNNNNCGUAGGGGGCAAGCGUUGUCCGGAUUUACUGGGUGUAAAGGGUGCUCAGGCGGAUCUGUAAGUCAGUGGUGAAAUCCCGGAGCUUAACUCCGGAACUGCCAUUGAUACUGCAGGCCUCGAGUUCGGGAGAGGUUGAUGGAAUAUCUGGUGUAGCAGUGAAAUGCGUAGAUAUCAGAUAGAACACCAAUGGCGAAGGCAGUCAACUGGCCCGAUACUGACGCUAAAGCACGAAAGUGUGGGGAGCAAACAGGAUUAGAUACCCUGGUAGUCCACACCCUAAACGAUGAGUACUAGACGUUGAGCCUUUUAAGGCCCAGUGUCUGAGCUAACGCAUUAAGUACUCCACCUGGGAAGUACGAUCGCAAGGUUGAAACUCAAAGGAAUUGACGG